rnacentral:rRNA from 1 species
AGCAGUCGCCACGGUAAAACGGAGGGUGCAAGCGUUAAUCGGAAUUACUGGGCGUAAAGCGCACGCAGGCGGUCUGACAAGUCAGAUGUGAAAUCCCCGGGCUUAACCUGGGAACUGCAUUUGAAACUGUCAGGCUGGAGUCUUGUAGAGGGGGGUGGAAUUCCAGGUGUAGCGGUGAAAUGCGUAGAGAUCUGGAGGAAUACCGGUGGCGAAGGCGGCCCCCUGGACAAAGACUGACGCUCAGGUGCGAAAGCGUGGGGAGCAAACAGGAUUAGAUACCCCUGUAGUCCCUGUCUCUUAUAC